rnacentral:lncRNA from 1 species
GCAAAAUAUAACUCAUGUUCUCAUAUCCCCCUGCUUCAACAACCCCUGAGUUGAAACUUUUAUGCAACGGAAUUCCUGCCAAGUCAUUCACUUCAAGUUUUCGUUUCACAUUUGCACUCAACUCUCUAUUGCAGCGAUACAACCUAGACUUGGAAGGGCUAGUUCUAUGAUUAUGCUCAAGGUGGACUGUAUUAAUUCUCCACAUGCCAUGACUAUCUGAAGAACUAGAGAUCCUUGCUUUACAAUCCGUCUUACUGAUUGGUUGUGGAUUUAAAGAGCCGCUUGCAUUAGUCGUUCUCCGACCUUCACGACUACAUGUCAAGGUCACAUAUUUCAACAAUCCAUCAUCCCCCUUCUCCGAGUUUCUUCUUCAGACUGGAAAAUCGACAUCAUAAGCAUAUCUCUUAUAGAAGUCAACCAAUUGUUUCUCGUCAUUGAACAUCAUACCCACCUCCGGCAAGAUCGGCCCAUUGUGUCCCAAUGUUUCUUCUUCCACCUUGAUGGAAUUCUCUGCAACACUGUCAUUAUCUAGUGCCGAACAAGUUCAUCAGUCCCGUGUUCCAUACUUCCUAUGCUGUAAGAAAAUAAGAUGUAAUGUAGGUCAUCACAUAAACUCUAGUAUGUGUGUACCGAAAAUAUUUGAUAUUCCAUCAAAUGUUUGUGAAUAAAUAUCUCAAAUGGUUGUUAGUAAGAAAAAAAAUUAUACUUGCAUAUAUGGCGAAUCACUCUAACAACUGCAAAGUAUGAUAAGUACAAGAAAUAUUUAGCAUGAAAACUGCACCAGUGGCAUCAGCUGCACCAAAAGGAAUUAUCUUGAUUUUACUAGGAAAUGAUAUGUUUAAUGUCAUCGAAUUUUAUCACUGUAGUUCAUUCGGCAACACUUUUUCUUCUUUUAAAUUGUUUUCUGGCUCUAAUUCUUUUAUGUGUUAUAGCUGCCCCAUCAAUGUAUAAUGCUAAUGCAUCUAAUAGUGGAAACUGAAAGCUAAGUUGAGUUGUCCUUAAAGCAAUUUCAAAUAUGAGUCAAGUAACGAAUAUACUUCCAUAAGUUCUUUCAGGUUACAAAAUAAGAAAUGGGGCAUUUUUCCAUUUUUCAUCUCCAACUCAUCCUUCUAGACAAUUUCCUCUUUGUAUAUCUAAACUAUUUACCUAUUUAAAUUUUCUCAAGCUGUACUUUCCAAUCAAAGUCCAAUAUGUUGUAUAUCUGUCAGCCUCAAGAGGCAGUUUUGAAUUACAGAUUUGGUAUAGACACUAAAAAUAUUUUUCUGUAUUUUUGAUUAUUCAACACCCAUUAUCUAUCUGUUAUUUGAAUGUUUCAAUGGCGAAUAAUAUUUUAUGGGUUUUUGAUUUCAUGCAGAUUUUCAUACCAGAGGAUAAAAAUGGUGUUCUGGGUUUCCGGUUACGGAUCAUUACUACGAUGAAAAAAUAAUUGGGUAGCAUGUCGAACAUAUCGUGGGAAAAUGUCUCAGAAUCUGUGGUACAUCAUGCUGAACACAGAAACCCUUCAGGUGCAGCCCCCAUUUCGUUGUGUCAACGUAGAGGACAUGGGGGAAAUGCCGAACACAGGAAUGGAAACGAGAAAAUUGGAGGAAAUGAUGAAGGCUUUUGACUGGAGGUGAGUGCCCAAUUAUCUUCCCGUCGCUGGAGAGGGAAUGGAAUGGGGAUGAAAUUGACAAAAUGGACGGAGAGGGAAUGGAACGAGAAUGGGGAAGUCGGGGAGAAAAAGGACGUGAUUUUCCCGCUUUUUGCCAAUCUGUGGGUCUUCCAUUUUUUUGGGCAGCCCUUAUUUGUUUUAUUUUUUAGAACUUCCAGCUCAGCUUUUGUC